rnacentral:rRNA from 1 species
CCUACGGGUGGCAGCAGUGAGGAAUAUUGGUCAAUGGGGGAAACCCUGAUGCAGCGACGCCGCGUGAAGGAAGAAGUAUUUCGGUAUGUAAACUUCUAUCAGCAGGGAAGAAAAUGACGGUACCUGACUAUGAAGCCCCGGCUAACUACGUGCCAGCAGCCGCGGUAAUACGUAGGGGGCAAGCGUUAUCCGGAUGUACUGGGUGUAAAGGGAGCGGAGGCGGCGAUGCAAGUCCGAAGUGAAAGCCCGUGGCUCAACUCCGGGACAGCUUUUGAAACUGUGUUGCUAGAUUGCAGGAGAGGUAAGUGGAAUUACUAGUGUAGCGGUGAAAUGCGUAGAUAUUAGGAGGAACACCAGUGGCGAAGGCGGCUUACUGGACUGUAAAUGACGCUGAGGCUCGAAAGCGUGGGGAGCAAACAGGAUUAGAUACCCGGGUAGUC